rnacentral:lncRNA from 1 species
AGCGGGGACCUCGCUGCAGACGGGCGAGGCGGUGGGCACUGGUCUGGGGAAGGGACCCGAGCUGAGCCGAUGCAUGAGGGACACGUGCGCAGAGAGGAGGCAAUGAUGGGGGCCAGGCGGGGUCUCCUUACCCAGGUGGCGGCACUGUGCAGUCAUGGCUCUGGGGUUGGAGGCAGUGGAGUCAAGAGAUGAGCAGCAGAUCCCAGCAGGUCCUUUUAUUCGCCUGGUGACGUCACUGAUCCCUCAUCCUCACGUAUAUGCCACAGGAUCUGUGUCUGGCCCGGAUGAGUCAGUGCAAACCAAGAGGCUGCAUGUCCACUGAGGCACCGGAGGAGCCUCCGGGGGUGUCCCCCAGGCGGCACGGCUGGGCGUGUGACUCAGGAGUCCAGAGGCCACCGCGGCUGCCACACCUGCCUCUCAGCACCUCAUUGCUAAGUACCUGGACACAAACAGGACAAAACAAACACUGCAGAGAGAGAGAGAGAAGUGGCGCAGAAACUCCUGGUGACUCAGUGGCCGGGCUGCCCUGUACAUCAAAUGCGUCCAGAAUCCGAGCUGCAAGGGCCCCUGAGAAAGAGAGCCGGAAGCGCCGCUGUGUCUGUAGACGAGAAGGCCUGGAAGGCCAUGGGACAGAGGCUGAGUGUCCACCACCACGUCCUGAUGCCUCUCUGAGCUCCAACUCCACCUCUGGAGCGAAGUUGCUAAUUACAGCAGGAAACGUCUCCCAGGGCCUCGGCCCUUGCCCUGUUCUCUGGACUCAGCCUCGCCGUCCGCGCCCCACGCAUGUUGCACUUCCCACGGCCUGUGCAGCUGCCUGGCCCUCUCCUCCAUUCUCUUCACAGGGACUCUAUUCAUUCUUUUUUUCUUGUUUUUAGAUUUAAUUUUAUUUAUUUCUCUCCCCUUCCAUCCCCGUCCCCACCCUGCUGUCUGCUCUCUGUGUCCAUUCACCGUGCAGUCUUCUGUAUCCACUU